UACGUAGGGGGCAAGCGUUGUCCGGAUUUAUUGGGCGUAAAGAGCGUGUAGGCGGCCAGGUAGGUCCGUUGUGAAAACUGGAGGCUUAACCUCCAGCUGUCGAUGGAAACCAUCUGGCUAGAGUCCGGAAGAGGAGAGUGGAAUUCCUGGUGUAGCGGUGAAAUGCGCAGAUAUCAGGAAGAACACCCGUGGCGAAGGCGGCUCUCUGGGACGGUACUGACGCUGAGACGCGAAAAGCGUGGGGAGCGAACAGG
rnacentral:rRNA from 1 species